CAUCAUUUAUUACUGUUGCUUUUCUUCCUAAAUACUAACAUUUUUGCCUAAUUUUAUACAUAUAAUUUUGUAAUCUUUCUUUAAGAAAUAUUUUUACUUAUUUCACACACAUAUUUAAUGUGUCUUGAUUGUGUCCUCCCCCCAGCUCUCCCCUCCCACUCUCCCCAGACUCCCCUAACUCCUGCCCCUCCCACACUCACGGCCUCCUUUGCUUUUUCUAUUUAUAAACCACUGAAUCCAACUAGCACUGCCUGCAGAAGCAUGGGCAACCCACCAGUGGCCAUAGCCGCGAAGAAAACACUCUUCCCGCAGCAGCCAUCAAGCGGUGCCUCAGUUGAGGGUGGGGCCUUAUGAGACCCUGUCCCAUGCACACCAGAAUGAAUGACUUUCUCUUGUGCAGGUAACUGCAGCUGCUGUGUGCUGGUGAGUGAAAUGGCCAGGUCACCUGCAGAAGAUGGCAUUUUACAGCACACCUGACAAUAUGUCCGCUUAGCAGAACAGUAGUUGUGGGCUCCUCCUUCAGUCCUCUGUGUCCUCUCCAGCCAUGGCUUUGACCAGGUUGACAGUACAAGGCAUGAAUUUCUUGCUGUGGAACAGGCCUCUGAUCCGAUCAGAAAACAGUCGGUUAUCCCAAUGAGAGCUGUACCACGACUGCACCAUGGGCACAUCUUUCCUGGAAGGCCCAUGGCUGAUUAAGUCCACCAAUGGCUUUUCUCCCAGCAGCCUGCACAGCACCGUUCAGCAGAGAAAAGGCUUCCAGUUCAUCCCUUCCAUCCUGCUUCAAUCAUCAGACUUGGUUGCAAACGUCCUUCCCUGGAUUCUCACCAGCCCUUGACUGCUCUAUUGGCUGUUGUUAACUCCAACACCAAACAAAAGUCUCACAAAUGUUGUCCUGGGCAAAGGACUGUCCUCCACGCAGUGAGGCCAACAGUCUCCACCCCAGCACCGGCCACUUGGAACACUCUGUCAGUGCCUUGAGGAAGCUGCACAGCAACCACAGCUGCUUGCUGCCGGCAGACAACUCCAGGCCUAGAAGGCACCCUCCCGUUUGUGACUGCUUCAAAGCAGCUUGCACCAGACUUUUCACCAUCACAGACCUUGAGGAACUCUAGAAGUCCCUACAGCCAUUUCCACUCCUGCCAGAAGAGAUAAUCUGCCCUGGUGGUGUAAGAAGGGGACAACUGCUGGUAUUAGUGCAUGCCUCUACCUUUACUGCGGGCUGCGGUGACUGGUGCCAGAUGUGGCUCAGAGUUUGAGUGAAGGACUGUCAUGUUUGGCACAGAUAGCCUUGACCUGUUCCCUUAUGGUUUGAAUCUGAAAUGUCCCCCCAGAGGUUCACAUGUUUUUAAUACCUUGUCCCAGAUACCAGCACCGUUGUGUAUGGUUGUGGAAUCUUCAGGUGUUAGGGCUGGUUGGUGGAUGAGGGUCACAGAUGGGCGGGUCUUUGGGACGAUAGACAGCCUGACUUCCAGUAUCACUCUCCACUUUCUGGUUGGUAACCACAUUGAACAAGCCUACACUACAACCUGUCACAGAAGAGCCACUCUGCCAUGCCUUCCUGGUUGUGACAGGGCCAAACUAAACCCCACUCCUCUGUUUCUACUAGGUAUUUAGUCACAAUGAGAAGGACAGCAUCUAACAGACCUCUUUCUAGCUACAUGAGCAGGCUCUUAGAUAACUUUUUGAGUCACUAGGUAGACACCUCCCUGUGCUGAGCCCUUCGCCACGCUAUAACAUUAGGCUCAAUAAGUGGCUUCUCUCCAGUGGCCUUUCCUUGCCUACUACCGACCUUCAUAAUUAAUAGAAUAAGUUGAGCUCGUAACACGAAGAGAGGGUGACAGACAUGGCAGCAGAGUGGUGUCAGUGGGCAUAGCAGUUGCAGGAACAACAGCAGCAGGAGCCUUGAGAAGACAGCCAGAGUUCUAGAUAGUGGUCAGGCCAGAAACAACAGGAAACAGAGGUGUUGAGGGCUGGGAAAAGCUUAAGGACAAGAAGUUACAGGCCCUAGUCACUAAGGAGAAGCCAAGGUUUAAGGGUCAAGGGUCUCAACACCCUAGUUCCAGAGAUGCAAUACUUACUACUGUAGAGCUGACGGGCACAGCAUGUAAGGCCUGCUCAAGAACGGAAGCCACUGCCUCUCAUUGCUGCUAAAGCCAACAGUUUACAACGGCUGCUGAAUGCCAGCACUUAAAAGCCAGAACAUUAAGCCUUCAAGAUGUGCCCAUAAAUUUCUUGAUUCUAAUUCUGUAGCAUAGGCCCCUAACUCUCAGGGCUUAAUGGAGUCCCAAGCCCUAGACCUUGAGUGCUUUAAAGGCCAGGAUGGCCAGCACUGGGCUAAUGUUUCCUCUCUGACUCACAAUUGAUUCUUGUAUUUAUUUUCUUUUCUCCUCUUCCUCCUCUUCCUCUUCCCCCUCCUCCUCCCUUCCUAAGUUUCAUGUAGCCCAGGUUGACCUCAAAUUCACUUUGUAGCCUUUAAUCCUCCUGCCUCUACCUCCCAAGUACUGGAAUUACAGGUAUGUGCCACCACAGAUUUUUAACUCUAAUUUCUAUCUGGGUCGAAUAAAAGAACCCCAGCCAACAGAUUAGUAGCAUCAGCAAGAUACUAACAGCUAAUAAUAAACCAGCAAGAGUUAUUUGAAACUAUAGCUUUCCCAGCCAGGUGGUGGCACACACCAUUGAUCCCAGCAGAGACAGGCAAAUCUCUGUGAGUUAGAGGCCAACCUGGUCUACAGUGCAAGUUCCAGGAUAGCUGGGGCUAUACAAAGAAACCCUGCCUCAAAAAAACCAACCAACCAAACAGAACUCUAUGGAUCGCCCACUGGUGAAACAGUGGCACGAGCGUUUUGGGAUAACUAACUACUGUCCAAUUGGAUUUGAAGCUCCAUCCAUGGGAGAAAUUCACGACUGGUACUGUAAACCUACUAGCCCAUGGCUAGUAGCAGGGAAACGACUAUUGUUGUUUUGUGGAAGACAUGCCAAACUACCUUCUAAAUGUUUGCUUAUAUUUGUUUAUAUCCAUCUGUCCUAGGUAGGGUUUAUUGUUACUGUGACGAAACACCAUGACCAAGGCAUGGGGAGGAAGGGGAUUAUUUGGCUUAUACUUCCAUAUCACUGUUCAUCACCAAAGAAAAUCAGAACAGGGCAGGAAACUGGAAGUAGGAGUGGAUGCAGAGGCCAUGGAGGGGGCCUACUUAGCUUGGUCCUCGUGGCUUAGUCAGCCUGCUUUCUUAUGGCGCCCAGGACCACCAGCUAACCCGUAAUGGGCUAGGUCUUCCUUCAUCAAUCACUAAUUAAGAAAAUGCCUUACAGCUGGAUCUCAUGGAGGCGUUUCCUCGGUUGAGGCUCCCUCCUCCCAGAUGACUCUAGCUUGUGUCAAGUUGAUGUGAAACUAGACAGCACACCUCGGUUAGUUAGUACAGUUAGUUAGUACUUACAACCUUGGUCACAGAUCCUUCUUUCUAUACUGGGCAGUUAAUACAAGAUUCAUUACUGGUCAAAGCACUGAGAAGAGCCUGUUAAGUGCUAAGAAGACAUCUAUAUUACCACCCCAAAGACUCAGGGCAUACUACAUUGCAGAUGAGGAAGCUGGGAGAAUGUUAUACCCAAAGACUAGGGGCAGUGCUGUUCUGGGCACGUCAUGGUUCUGUCACUCACUAAGUCACAGCAGCUGUGGCCACCUGCACACAAUGGGACCCAUCAACACUCCAGCACACACAGAGGAGCACAUGAGUCCCCCCCACACGCAUACACACACACUCCCGAGGAGAUACUUGCAGUUAAUGGCUACUAGGGGUCAGGGGGUCAUUUUUCUUGGGGUGUGGGUAUGCAGUGCUGAAGCAGCCUCCAUCUUAGGCUUUAAAGCCAUCUUACAGUAAGGACACAGUGGGCUCGUUCUUGUUUGAUUAAACCUGUUUCUCAAGAAUGGGCUAAGCCGGGGCUGGUGAGAUGGCUCAGUGGGUAAGAGCACCCGACUGCUCUUCCAAAGGUCAGGAGUUCAAAUCCCAGCAACCACAUGGUGGCUCACAACCAUCCGAUGACUCCCUCUUCUGGAGUGUCUGAAGACAGCUACAGUGUACUUACAUAUAAUAAAUAAAUAAAUAAAUCUUAAAAAAAAAAAAAAGAUGUAGGAGAGGCAGGAUGUUUAAAAAAAAAAAAAAAAAAAGAAUGGGCUAAGCCUCAUCUGUAACCUUAACUACACUGCCUAUUCCACGAAACAGCAACCACGUCUUUGUUUUUAAACAGUUAUGAGCACUGUCUUAGUUAGUUUCCAUUGCUGUGAACAGACACCAGAGCUGUGGCAACUCUUAUAAGGACACACUUAACUAGGGCUGGCUUACACUUCAGAGUUUUAGUCUAUUGUCACUGUGGUGGGAAGAAUGGUGGCGUGUAGGUAGACAUGGUGCUAGAGAAGAAGCUGAGAAUUUUACAUAUGGAUCUAUGUACAGCAGCAGUAAGGGGGGUUUGGGGAGAGGCAGGCACUGGGCCUGGCUUGAGCAUUUGAGACCUCAAAGACCACCCCCAGUGACACACUUCUUCCAACAAAGCCACACCCACUUCAACAGAGUCACACUCACUCCAAUAAAGCCACACCUACUCCAUCAAGGCUACACCUCCUAAGAGUGCCACUCCCCAUGGGCCUAUGGGAGACAUUUUCAUUCAAACCACUACAAGUAUCUUGCAACCCUACCUUUGUUUCAAAAGGUUGUUAUGACUACUAGUUAUGAUCUGCAUCUGUAACCCCUCCUGGUUUUCUGCCAAAGUUCCCAUUUGAAGCCCCUUACCCUGGCUAUAAAAACCUCUUCCCCACAUCCAAUGCUGACCCCUUAAACCCUGCCUUAGGGAGCCGCAACCCAUGUACACAAAUUUUAAAAAGCCUGCUUAAUUACUUGCCUUAAUUAAGUUGGCCAUGAUCAUUUAGAUUGGUGGUCGUCUAAUCUUUGGUAACCAUGGCCCAGUAUAUCACCCAUACCAUGCUUAUGUCUGUAACCCUAAUUAAGCUCAUUGGGUAAUUUUUUUAAAACGUUGAAAGUGGAAGGAAAUAAGUGGAGGAUAGGGUGUGGGUUACAGAAAUACAUUACAUCCGUGAUUGUUAGUAUUUCUACUGCUGUGAUAAACAUCAAGACAAAGGCAUCUUGGAGAGGAAAGGGUUUUUAUCUCAUCUUACAGUUUGUAGUCCACUCUCAGGAAAAGUAAAGGUAGGAACCUGAAGAGAGGAUGAAACAGAGGCAAUGGAGGAGCUGCUACUUAUUUGUUCUGGUGGUGGCUUGCUCAGUCUACUUUCUUACAGCACCAAGAACCAUGAAGCCCAUAAACUGGACCCUGCCACAUCAAUCAACAAUGGAGAAAACGCACCAUAUGCCAAUCCGGUGGGGACAUUUCUCAACUGAGGUUCUCUCUUCCAAAAUGAUUCUAGCUUGUGCCAAGUUAACAUAAAACCCGGCCCGUACAUGUAUAAAGUUGUCAAUGAAUUAAAAAAUUUUAAACGAUAUUUCUGGAAUUUCCUAAAUUUAGGACCACAGUCUCCCUUUGUCAACCAAAACAAGUAAAGACGUGGGGAGUUAUGGAACUGCUAGUUUGAAUUAUUAUUGCAGAACAGUUGUUAAUGUGGGGGGAAAUUCUUCUCAAUCUUUGAUCUAUGACGUCAAGGAUUUUUAUAUAUAUUGCGCAGUAUCUUUUAUAUUUCCCAAUUCUCACACCCUAGGUACAAAGGACCUCCGCACAUUCACAACAGGUUUAUAAUUCAGUGCAGCGUGGAUGCGAGGCUGUCCCUCUGGGCCACUUCUCCCCUGGAAACACUAGUAAUGAUGCCCAUGCAUACAAGCAGCGUUAAUACAUCCGCCUAAACCCAGAUGCAGAGUAUUUCCUUCUUCGAAAUGCCCGUAAGCCACUUCAACGUCCCCAGAUCCCAAACUCUGCGGUUGCAAUACUAGACUAUCUACAUUUUACUAAUUGCAUACAACUAUGACCGUUUAAGAGCGCGGCUAAGGCUCCUUCCAUGGCCACUUAAGGGGCCUGGGUGAAGGAGAGUCCAGAAAGCCAGUCACCUGCAACCCUGCAGGGGCUCCGCGGGAGCUCCGUAGGCAGACGCCCAACCCCACGCCCGGGCCUCCGCAGGCCCAGCUCCCCUCCAGCAGCCGAGCCAGACUUCCGCGGACCAGCGAAGAACACGGCUAG